AGAGUUUGAUCAUGGCUCAGAACGAACGCUGGCGGCAGGCUUAACACAUGCAAGUCGAACGCUCGUAGCAAUACGGGAGUGGCGGACGGGUGAGUAACGCGUGGGAACGUGCCCUGAGGUACGGAAUAACUGAGGGAAACUUCAGCUAAUACCGUAUGAGCCCCGAGAGGGGGAAAGAUUUAUCGCCUUGGGGAGCGGCCCGCGUCGGAUUAGCUAGUUGGUGGGGUAACGGCCUACCAAGGCUUCGAUCCGUAGCCGGUCUGAGAGGACGAUCAGCCACACUGGGACUGAGACACGGCCCAGACUCCUACGGGAGGCAGCAGUGGGGAAUCUUGCGCAAUGGGGGCAACCCUGACGCAGCCAUGCCGCGUGAACGAUGAAGGCCUUAGGGUUGUAAAGUUCUUUUACCCGUGACGAUGAUGACGGUAACGGGGGAAUAAGCUCCGGCUAACUUCGUG
rnacentral:rRNA from 1 species